rnacentral:rRNA from 1 species
UACGGAGGGUCCAAGCGUUAAUCGGAAUUACUGGGCGUAAAGCGCGCGUAGGCGGUUAGAUCAGUCAGAUGUGAAAGCCCUGGGCUCAACCUGGGAACUGCAUCUGAUACUGUUUAGCUAGAGUUUGGUAGAGGAGUGUGGAAUUUCCUGUGUAGCGGUGAAAUGCGUAGAUAUAGGAAGGAACACCAGUGGCGAAGGCGACACUCUGGACCAAAACUGACGCUGAGGUGCGAAAGCGUGGGGAGCAAAC